UACGUAGGGUGCAAGCAUUAAUCGGAUUUAUUGGGCGUAAAGGGCGCGUAGGCGGGGAGGCCAGUCAGAUGUGAAAUCCCGGAGCUCAACUCCGGAACAGCAUUUGAAACUACCUCUCUAGAGGAUAGGCGGAGAAAACGGAAUUCCACAAGUAGCGGUGAAAUGCGUAGAUAUGUGGAAGAACACCAGUGGCGAAGGCGGUUUUCUAGCUUAUACCUGACGCUGAGGCGCGAAAGCAAGGGGAGCAAACAGG
rnacentral:rRNA from 1 species